UACGGAAGGGUCUAGCGAUGUUCGGAAUUACUGGGCGUAAAGAGCGCGGAGGCGGCUUACCAAGUUGGGGGUGAAAUCCCGGAGCUCAACUCCGGAACUGCCUUCAAAACUGGUAGGCUCGAGUCCGGAAGAGGGGCGUGGAAUUCCCAGUGUAGAGGUGAAAUUCGUAGAUAUUGGGAAGAACACCGGUGGCUAAGGCGGCGCCCUGGUCCGGUACUGACGAUGAGGCGCGAAAGCGUGGGGAGCAAACAGG
rnacentral:rRNA from 1 species